rnacentral:rRNA from 1 species
GUGCCAGCCGCCGCGGUAAUACAGAGGGUGCGAGCGUUAAUCGGAAUUACUGGGCGUAAAGGGUGUGUAGGUGGUUAUAUAAGUUAGAUGUGAAAUCCCCGGGCUCAACCUGGGAACUGCGUUUAAGACUGUAUAACUAGAGUACUGUAGAGGAUAGUGGAAUUUCCAGUGUAGCGGUGAAAUGCGUAGAUAUUGGAAGGAACACCAGUGGCGAAGGCGACUAUCUGGAUAGAUACUGACACUGAGACACGAAAGCGUGGGGAGCAAACAGGAUUAGAUACCCCUGUAGUCC